UGAGGAAGGAGAAGUCGUAACAAGGUUUCCGUAGGUGAACCUGCGGAAGGAUCAUUGUCGUAUCCCGGCCCCAACGGCACACCCGCGAACUGUCCCAUCCCGUCCUCGGUAGGUAGGACGCCCCCGCGCGCCCGCAGCCGCGGCCGCGCGCGGGACGCCGACCGGCCGACCGACGAACCUUCUCCGGCGCGGUCCGCGCCAAGGAACACCGACCGACGAGAACGCCCGCGCCGUCCUCGCUCCGUGCCUGGCCGCGCGGGCGCUCCCACGUACAGCCGUACUAAAUCUUAACGACUCCCGGCAACGGAUAUCUAGGCUCUCGCAUCGAUGAAGAACGUAGCGAAAUGCGAUACGUGGUGUGAAUUGCAGAAUCCCGUGAACCAUCGAAUCUUUGAACGCAAGUUGCGCCCGAGGCCGUCAGGCCGAGGGCACGCCUGCCUGGGCGUCACGCCCCGCGUCGCUCCCACUCCCCCGCCCCGCCCCGCGCGGCGGCGGCGGCGGCCGUGGGACGCGGAGAUUGGCCUACCGUGCUGCGGCGCGGCGGGCCGAAGUGCUCGAACCCUUCCCCGUGCGUGGGACGAGAACACGGCGAGUGGUGGAUUGGAUCGGACCGACCGACUCAUCGUCGCCGCGCCCUUCUCGCCCCGCCGCCCGGCGGGCGGGAUUCACGAAACCCAGCCGCGAGCGGCCGUUCGGAGGCGCCGCGCGCCGCCGACGCCCGCUCCGACCGCGACCCCAGGUCAGGCGGGGCCACCCGCUGAGUUUAAGCAUAUCAAUAAGCGGAGGAA
rnacentral:rRNA from 1 species